rnacentral:sRNA from 1 species
UUUUCAAUCCAAAUGGGUGUGAUGCUAACAAUCUAGAUGCAAUCAGAGUUCAUAGAGUCAAGCCAAGCAAUA